AAAGGGAAUAGCUUUUGCUGAGAGAGUAAUAAGCAAGGGUAAUUGGAGUGACUCAUUUAUAAGCAUAAAUUAGACCCUCUUCAUAUUGCUGAGACCUAGCAGGCAGGCUGGCAUGGCUGGAAUGCUAAAAUCAAUAGUUAGAACAUAUUCAAGAUGAAUCAGUUGGGAAGGAGAGGUAAGAAGAGUGGCAGUUUGUAAUGAACAUGAUACUAGUUCUUUCCAAGCUCAGGAGUAAAUGAUCUUGAAUGCUUAUGGGUCUGUGGUCAAAAAGAGAAAGCCAUGAUUAUUAUGUGCACCAGGUCACACCUGAAUGACCCAAAUAUUCUCUGUAUACCAGGAGCCCUCAUGCUUGGAAAGAUGAAAAACGGCAAAAAGCUUCUAUCCAGCUCCUAUCAUCGCAUGAGACCUCUGAGCAAGCAAUACGGGGUGGAAGCAUCAUUCUGCCAGUGUUUCUCUGAAUUCAAAGAACUGAUGUGAAAAAAUCCUAACUCAGAAGCAUUGCAUCUUCAAUUCAAUAAUAGAGUAUUUCUUGACAAAUAAGGUGAGGUAUAUCAAGGAAAUGAAAAAGAGAGUUAGUUCUUCAAUUUACAAGUCAUGUUGAGUUGAUUAUUAUAUGAAAACAAAAGGAAGUGUAAGAGCUCGCUACUUUAAAAAUUCCACAAAGAUGAAAAAAAAUGUGAGCCAAACAAACUGUCAGAAAGAAUUAAUAUUAAGAAACAUUCAAAUGCUAAUUGGGGUCAUAAAUAACAAAGUGGACGUCACUGGGUUAAUUGGUAAUCCCAGCAUGCUCGAACUGUGCUUGUUUUGAUGGUGUUGAAUAUAGUCAUGGACCUAAGGAGAGGAACGACAUGGAGAGCUCGAUUCUGGGAAUAAGAGACUGAGGGGACUUAUGGCUCGUGGUGGGAGCCCAGCAUGAGCUCCCAGGGAAAUGCUGUUGCCCAAGGCCAAGGCAACCCUUAAACACGGGCGCAGGCAAUGUUGUGCGGGGAGACGAGGAACAGGAGCAGGUUGCUCCGGCGGCAGCGGCUCGGCUCGGUGCCUGCUCUUCAAGAGAGAUCUUGAAGAACCGAAGUGUAUAAAGAAGAGAGAUGGACUGCUUACAGGACUAGAGAAAUGACUAAAGGGCUGGAAAAUGGGAAGAAACUCGGAUGCUGAAUCCACUUUGCUCUUAAAAAAAAAAAAAAAAAAAAAAGAGUCUUGUGAGUAACUUGGUGAUAGACUGUACAUAUUGAGCAGAGUGCAAAAUUAGACUGUGGAGAAAAAUACAAUACGAUGGAUUAGUCAGCGAUUGAUCUAGACACCUUCAUACACAGCAGAUGCCACUUUUUAACAAUAGACACUUCUAAACAAAGGAAUAACAUUUGCAGUGAAAAGAGAUUCAAAGCAAUCCUGGAAAAGUUUUAUACAAGACAACACAUUUUUCUAAGAAAGAAUAUUCUUGCUCAGCAUGGAUUAGCUCCUGUGUUGUGGAGGAUGUCAAAGUUGAUUAUUGCAGUGUUUUGGGGUUUUUUUUCCCUGAAAUCAAUACGAUUUCUGAAUAGCCUUGUUAAAUUAAGAUAUUAACUAUGCCUCUUAAAUUAGGCUGGGCCCUUUACGCUUUUAUUGUUGUCUAAAUAAUAAUAUUAUUUUAAGACAAUUUAUUACAAAGUCCCCAAAAGAAAAAAAUUUCCUCUCAACUAUUCACUCUUCAAAACAGUGGUUACUAUUUCAGUCGGCUCCAGAAAUCCAAAUCUGUCUUCUUUAUAUUUAGGUCAUCUUGAAAAAAUACUCCACAAAACCAAGUGGUGAGGCUGCAAAAGACACUGAAUAAUGAAUUCAACCAGGUUUUCCCCAGGAAGCAGAAUAUGAUUCACAGAAACUCAAAUUCAUUCCUGUAAUAUAGAUUACUAAAACAAGUCAUCAUAACCUCUUCUGAAAAGGGAAUACAUAAUACUUAAGUAAUAAUGCCUUUUCAUGCCUAAAGCGAAGGCAUUCCAAAAAUUGCUCUACGACAUAAAACUGCAUAGACCUACCGAGAUUGUAUUUCAGGCAAGCCGUACACCAGAGAUGAAGCUUCUUCAGAUUCAUAUGGUUCAAAGAAGGUACUGUUGAGGGGCAGAGGGUGUUUCCACGCUUGGAUCUCCACCGAACAGUGAACGGAGGAGAGGAUUCAGUAGGAAAGGAUAUAGGUCUCCAUGCACCCCAUUCGACCCAAAUUGGAUCAGAAAUCAGUGGGCUGUGAAGGGUGAAUCAUAUCAAAGUACCUAACGAUAUAACCGACAGAAAGAGGUGGGAAGGGGGUUUCAUAUUUGAAGUGCUGAAAGGACACCAAAAAAAGAAGGGAGAUUGUCACACUGGGAAAAUUCUGUGGAAUUCCCUGGCUUAAGUCAGCCUAAUUGCAAGACCGUAGCAUUUCCAGCCCUGCUUUGAGGUCUUGCAUGGUUGAGUGCCACUUACUUUUGACGUGAUUUGCACUUAUGUUCGUUUUCUAAUAAAUAUUUCAAGGAAAUUUUACAAAGUUACUGAGUUUGCUGCUGCUGUGGACCCUCGAGGGAAGGGGGACAUGUGGUGGGCGGUGGGAGCCUGGAGAAGGCCUCUGCACCACAGCAAUGCAGGCGGGCGCAGAAGAGAAGUGCACUUGCUCCCAUAAGCAGAUGAGGCCAAUGACCGUAAGGAACAGUGAAAAGUGUCUUGUGAAUAGUAAAAAUCCCUCAAAGUUACGACAGGAAUUCAGAUCAUCUUUUCCUGGCAGGACUAAGCAGAGUCGCAGCCAUUGCUGCAGUAGAGUCUCAGUUUACAGUGGGAAAAAAAUGUUUGCCAGACCUUUCUGCAUGCUAAAACCUCUCUUGCUUCUUCAGCAGUGCGGAUCACCACCUCGCUCAUUCUCAUACGAUUCUUCAAAAUUCUUCAAAAAUUAAAAAAAAAAAAAAUGUCAGUGUAAAGCGGUGCAUGGAUGGGCACUGGUUUGGUCCUCAAUGCAUGAAGUCUUUUUAUAUGGUACAAGUAAGCAAAAAAAGGGGAACAUAUGCAUGUGUCCAAGGGAAACAAGUCGAAUGCAUACAGUAACCAGAGGACAUCUGCCGCCUGCGUUCAGUUCAGCAAGGAGCGACGUUCCCUCCGUAACAACGUGCACUUGCUGCGGUGCCCUCGGCCUCCUCCUCCUCCUCCUCGCCUGCUGCACCCGGUAGGGCUCCCGCAACCCACCGCGCUCCAGCCCAUUAAUGCCGUUCCCCGUUGGACGGUACGUCGAGUUACUGCCAGGCCACUUCACUAAUGGUUUUCCAAAAAUUCCCUCAAACAGGGUCACGUUCAUUAAAUUCAGAGGUCUUUGUUACUUGAGAUGCCGAUACCGCCUGCCAUACAAAUCCAAUUUGAAUUGUUCAUCAUCCAGCUCCCAGGGAAGAAUCUCCGCUGAAUACUGGCAAAUGGGCUGCGCUGCUUCAAAAGACUCUCUUGUCAAUAGGUGGCAAUAAUAUCCUUCACUGCAGCUCCUUAAUAUAUGUUUACGGUUUUCCUCCGCCCCAGUUGGAAAUUUUAUAACGUAGUCUCCAGUUAUUUAUAUCAGCAAAGUUCUGCAUUUCCCCCAUUAUAAUUUUUCAUGUCAGUAUAGGCCAGCUACGGGGGAGGCAUGGCAUGGCAUUACUUUAUUAAAGCUGACACUUUGCCUUGGAUUGAAUGAGUUCUCGUCCUCUGUAUCUACAGCCAAAGAUCAUUAGCAUUCCACUUCUGUUUGGCUAUCAACUAAUCUGCUCCAAAAUACUUGCAUGAAAUCAGAUUUAUAUACCAGUCAGACACAUGCAAAAGUAUAAUUUACAGACCCAGAUUCACACGACUGUUGUUUCGGUAUUUAGAGCAUCGCGGAGUUAUCACUCAGGCUCAUUACCAGGAGGAGACAGCCGCCGCUUUCCGCAAGAACCGCUGCUCUCGCUGCUGCUGCUGAUUUAUACAGCACGAAUCCCAAGUGUUUAAAAACAUGUGUUUCUUUGUGGCUUAUCAGAAAGGGUGAUGACAUGACGUCUUCUCGCAAAUUUGUCAUCUUUGAAGUUUAUGGAGUGAAAAUGCAUCUUUUUAUUGCUCGUACAGCAAACGGGAUUAAUCCUAGCCAUGGCUCGAGGACUGCACGCCCACCACGCGCCUGGGACGCGCUCUGCGGCCUCGUGAAAGCCGGGCCCCUGCCCUCCCAGCAGAUUGCUCUUGGGCUGGGCGCCGAGGGAAUGCUGAUUAGAGCAGGCUGUUUAUCGUCGCACUGACGGGGAAUGGUAAUGAAGCUCGCGUUAGAAACGCUCUGCCGCCUGCUCCGAAAGUCACCGUUGCAAGACAAGCGAAGGUUAAAUGCAGCUAGCCGUGUUGAAGCAAGUGGAAAAAACUGAGACCGAAGGGGCUUUGGUAGCUGGCACAACGCCGCAGCAGAGUCGCAUCUCCGGGGGAAGGAGCAUCCCCUGCCCUGAUCUUUGCCUGCGUUUCACAGUGCGUGAGCCUGGCACAACGUGUCUCUGCAAGUCGCUGCUACGGCAAUACAAAUAUAACGUGAAGAGAGAGACCAACAACUUCCUUUUUUCGUAAGUGGAAACACCUAGAGACAAAAUUUUACU